rnacentral:rRNA from 1 species
GAACGGCAUCACGAAGGUUGUACUGUCUCCCCUUUUUAAUCAGUGAAACUAAUCUUCCCGUGAAGAAGCGGGAAUGCUAUAAUAAGACGAGAAGACCCUAUGGAGCUUUAAACUAUCUAACACUUGCUGUCACUCUUUCACUUUCAGCAGCCUCACAAAAAACACAGCAUUAUGAUUACAAGUUUUCGAUUGGGGUGAUCACGGAGUAAAAAUCAACCUCCACGCCAAAUGGGCCCAACCCUGAACCAUAAGCCACAACUUUAAGUACUAAAAAAUUAUUGUUUCUUGACCCAAUAAUUUGAUCAACGAACCAAGUUACCCUAGGGAUAACAGCGCAAUCCACUUCAAGAGCCCCUAUCGACAAGUGG